rnacentral:rRNA from 1 species
UCCUAGCGGUCCAAGUCGCAGCCAUCAUUAUUGGGUAUAAAACAUCCGUAGCUUGCAUUUUAAGUUCCCUGUGAAAUUCUGUAUCUUAAGUACCGAGCGUGCAGGGAGUACUAUUAUGCUAGAGACUGGAAGACGUAAGAAGUACGAUGAAGGUAGUGGUAAAAUACGUUAAUCUUCGUCGGACUCACAACAGCGAAGGCAUCUUACGAGGACAGUUCUGACAGUGAGGGAUGAAGGCUAGGGGCGCAAAAGG